rnacentral:rRNA from 1 species
GACAGAGGGUGCAAACGUUUGUUCGGAAUUACUGGGCGUAAAGCGCGUGUAGGCUGCUCAGAAAGUCGGAUGUGAAAGCCCUGGGCUUAACCUAGGAAGUGCAUUCGAAACUUCUGAGCUGGAGUUCUGGAGAGGAAGGCGGAAUUCUCGGUGUAGAGGUGAAAUUCGUAGAUAUCGAGAGGAACACCGGUGGCGAAGGCGGCCUUCUGGACAGUGACUGACGCUGAGACGCGAAAGCGUGGGUAGCAAACAGG